rnacentral:rRNA from 1 species
UACAGAGGGUGCGAGCGUUGUUCGGAAUUAUUGGGCGUAAAGCGCUUGUAGGCGGCUUGUUAAGUCCUGUGUGAAAUCCCCUGGCUUAACCAGGGAAGUGCACUGGAAACUGUCGAGCUUGAGUACCGGAGGGGAAAGCGGAAUUCACGAGUGUAGAGGUGAAAUUCGUAGAUAUUCGGAAGAACAUCAGUGGCGAAGGCGGCUUUCUGGACGGAUACUGACACUGAGACGCGAAAGCGUGGGGAGCAAA